rnacentral:rRNA from 1 species
ACGAACGCUGGCGGCGUGCCUAAUACAUGCAAGUAGAACGCUGAAGGAGGAGCUUGCUCUUCUGGAUGAGUUGCGAACGGGUGAGUAACGCGUAGGUAACCUGCCUGGUAGCGGGGGAUAACUAUUGGAAACGAUAGCUAAUACCGCAUAACAGUAGAUGUUGCAUGACAUUUGCUUAAAAGGUGCAAUUGCACCACUACCAGAUGGACCUGCGUUGUAUUAGCUAGUUGGUGGGGUAACGGCUCACCAAGGCGACGAUACAUAGCCGACCUGAGAGGGUGAUCGGCCACACUGGGACUGAGACACGGCCCAGACUCCUACGGGAGGCAGCAGUAGGGAAUCUUCGGAAAUGGACGGAAGUCUGACCGAGCAACGACGCGUGAGUGAAGAAGGUUGUCGGAUCGUAAAGCUCUGUUGUAAGAGAAGAACGAGUGUGAGAGUGGAAAGUUCACACUGUGACGGUAUCUUACCAGAAAGGGACGGCUAACUACGUG